GCCAUGCUGCUGUGAUCUAUAAAUAAGUAGGAUUUAAUUUUCAGCUGGUAUGUUGGAGAGAUUUGUCUGGAUGUUGGGUGCCCACUAAGCCAUUCUAUGACUCCCUCUUUUUAGAUAGAGAAGGAAGAGAAAAUGUCAUGGAAAGCUCAUUGUUGUGAUAAGGGCUGGGAGAGAUCACUCACCUAUUACCAUCAAAACAGACUCAACUUGGAAAUAAACAUUAAUAAUCACAUCAAAGUAGAAUAAUGACAAAUAAAGUCUAAUUAUAAAACACCUCACCCAGCCCUGACUUUGUUCCAGGCUCAGCUCUACUCCUGAUUCUUUCACCUCCCCUUAGCCAGUGGCCAAARGUAGAUGGGGAAUGGGGGCUGUGGUAAGAACAACACAAAUUGCCUUUGACAUUCCUCCCUCCUCAGUUCUCUCCUCUCCAAUGGGAGGCAGUCCUCCACAAACUUCUCCAACAUCCAUUCCUAGGGCUACACUUCUUCAGAACCUCCAUCUCUUUGUGUUCCUUCCACAGUGCACAAUCCUUCAGAAACCAGCUGCUCCAGUGUGGAUUCCCCAUGGGCUCACCAGCCCUACAAGCAAACUCUCUCCAYAGGCCCACUGUUCCCUGCCAGGAGCCUGCUCCAGCAUGGGCUUCAGAGCAUGAGAACAUUUUGUAUUCUUGMCAGAGUAAGCAUCUAUAUUAAAGCAAAUAUAAGUGCAAAAGAUGUCUUUUCCAUUACAUUAUGUUCAAGAAUUCACUGUGCGGUCAAGGAAUGACACAGAUCAGUCUGAAAAGCAGUACUGAGCAUCUGUUUUGUUGGACCUGGACAGAAAUCCCACAGCUUUGGACUUGUGCCUCUCCAAACAUUCCUGGAAUUUAAGGAAAAAAAACGCCAAAAAACAAGCCACUGGCUGGAUUAACAAAAUGGAUGAAUAAUUUUAUGACCACUCACUAAUAACARAUGUAGCUGUGCAACUUAAUGAGAGAGCUAAUCAGCAUUCACUUUGUGGGGCAAACUUGAUAACCUCCUUUGCAAUGCUCUGCCUUCUCCUCAGCCCUCGAAUAGAAUAACUGCUGGGGGAGGACUGAAAGGCUUGAAAGAACAGUGAGCUAAUCUGAGCGUAUUUUGUACCCUUYGGGCAACAUUCAAGUUGCCCUGAAGUCAGUUCUAGGAAAUGAUGGGUGGGAUAAAGGCAGGCUUAAAGUAAGUGAAAAGAAGAGAUGCAAUAAAAUUAGAAUGUUUGGUUUUUAAUCCAAUUUAGAGCAUGUGAAUAGUAUACCUGCCAUAAUGUGCACACUGAUAUGUAUGAUUUGCAUUGAACUUAGUUACUGGGCACCUUGUAAUCAAAAUAUUGUUUUACCUAAUGUGUGGCAUUACCUGCUGGAGAAAUAAGGGAUAAAUCCAUGCAUGAAAUUUUAGUUCUGU